rnacentral:rRNA from 1 species
CUAAGUUAUAAACAAAUCUAUACUGUGAAACUGCGAAUGGCUCAUUAUAUCAGUUAUAGUUUAUUUGAUGGUCCUUGCUACUUGGAUAACCGUAGUAAUUCUAGAGCUAAUACAUGCAUCAAACCCCGACUUCUGGAAGGGGUGUAUUUAUUAGAUGGAAACCAAUGCGGGGCAACCCGGUAUAUGGUGAUUCAUAAUAACUUUCGGAUCGAUCUUCGGAUCGAUGCAUCAUUCAAGUUUCUGCCCUAUCAGCUUUGGAUGGUAGGGUAUUGGCCUACCAUGGCUUUCGGUGAAACUUUCGGACCGUCGCUUGGACGCCUUCUGGCGACUAAGCAAUGGGAAGUUAUUUAAACCUCAUCAUUUAGAGGAAGGUGAAGUCGUAACAAGGUUUCCGUAGGUGAACCUGCAGAAGGAUC